AGGACGAACGCUGGCGGCGUGCUUAACACAUGCAAGUCGAGCGGAAAGGCCCUUCGGGGUACUCGAGCGGCGAACGGGUGAGUAACACGUGAGCAACCUGCCCUUAGCUUCGGGAUAGCUCCGGGAAACCGGAAUUAAUACCGAAUAUGACUUUGGCUGACAUCAGCAGAAGUGGAAAGUUUUCGGCUAGGGAUGGACUCGCGGCCUAUCAGCUAGUUGGUGAGGUAACGGCCCACCAAGGCGACGACGGGUA
rnacentral:rRNA from 1 species